GAUGAACGCUGGCGGCGUGCCUAAUACAUGCAAGUCGAGCGAACAGAUGAGGAGCUUGCUCCUCUGACGUUAGCGGCGGACGGGUGAGUAACACGUGGAUAACCUACCUAUAAGACUGGGAUAACUUCGGGAAACCGGAGCUAAUACCGGAUAAUAUAUUGAACCGCAUGGUUCAAUAGUGAAAGACGGUUUUGCUGUCACUUAUAGAUGGAUCCGUGCCGCAUUAGCUAGUUGGUAAGGUAACGGCCUACCAAGGCGACGAUGCGUAGCCGAUCUGAGCGGACGACCAGCCACACUGGGACUGAGCCACGGCCCAGACUCCUACGGGAGGCAGCAGUGGGGAAUUUUGGACAAUGGGCGCAAUCCUGAUCCAGCAAUGCCGCGUGCGGGAAGAAGGCCUUCGGGUUGUAAACCGCUUUUGUACGGAACGAAAAGGCUCUGGCUAAUACCUGGGGCUGAUGACGGUACCGUAAGAAUAAGCACCGGCUAACUACGUG
rnacentral:rRNA from 1 species